CAGGGCCAUAGUUUCAGAAAAAUAUACCAGUGGAUGCGGAGCUAUGCCGGUAAUGCAGAAACUAACACCUUUAACUGAGAUGUGGAGCAGCUGGUGGAGACUGUUCUACAGGCCAAGAGUGAAGCUGGGGAGGGGAGAGACUUUCCCCAAGAACACCAGCCUGGAAUGAAUGGAGCUGGGAUUUAGGGUCAUUUAGGGCUAAGAAUCCUUUGCCCUGUAUCUUCUCAGUUCCAAGUGGUUCAUGACUUUGCUCCACGGCCUUCAGGGUCUUGCCUUCCCCAGGGCUCCUGGCUGCUAGGAUGACACACAUUUCCUCUGGCUGAAGAUGUGUGGAGACUCUGCCUGGAAGCUUGGGAAAGGAAUUUUCCCCAUUUUGUAGUCAGAAACAGCUUAGAAAAGUAUGACUCAGAGCACUUCUUCUUCCUAUUUCCCACAAGCAAGGUCAUGCACUGGGUAUGUUGCCUGAAGGCCUGAUGGUGCAUGAAAUGAUGCACCAUGGAAAUGAAGACAUGUAGCUGAAGAUGCCUGGUUAUAAUAGUGAGUGAGCAACUUUGCAGUAUGAUGAGCCAUAGGGGGAGAGAAGAGUGGAGGAGGUAAAUGUUUUCAGGGGGCCCAUGGGCUGCUGCGGGGGAGAUAUGCUCAGUACCUCAUUCUAAACACUGGUCAGUGGGAUGCUAUUGGAUGAAAAGGAGACAAGGGAGGCACAAAUGGAUGGAUGGAAGGAUGGAUGGACGGACGGAUGGACCAAUGGAUGGAUGGCGGACAGACAGACAGAUUCCCUCUCAUAGGGUAGCCUAUGGAUGAGGGGAGAGAUGGAUAACACCAAGGUGUAGGGAAAGCUGUAGCCAUGCCUUCUUAGAGGCUGGCUACAGGUGUGCCUGACCAGGCUUGUGAGGGCGUGGUCAGAGUGACGUAGUGGGACUGCGUUUUCGGUUUUGGUUUC